rnacentral:misc_RNA from 1 species
UGUGGGAGCUGGCUUGCCAGCGAUAGCGGUGGUUCAGUCACCAUCCAUGCUGGAUGAUAAACCGCCAUCGCUGGCAAGCCAGCUCCCACA